rnacentral:rRNA from 1 species
UACGUAGGGGGCAAGCGUUGUCCGGAAUCAUUGGGCGUAAAGCGCGUGUAGGCGGCCAGAUAAGUCCGCUGUGAAAACUCGAGGCUCAACUUCGAGCUGUCGGUGGAAACUAUCUGGCUAGAGUCCGGAAGAGGAGAAUGGAAUUCCUGGUGUAGCGGUGAAAUGCGCAGAUAUCAGGAAGAACACCCGUGGCGAAGGCGGUUCUCUGGGACGGUACUGACGCUGAGACGCGAAAGCGUGGGGAGCGAACAG